UACGUAGGCAGCGAGCGUUGUUCGGAGUUACUGGGCGUAAAGCGUGCGUAGGCGGUGUCUUAAGUUUGUUGUGAAAUCUCCCGGCUUAACCGGGAGGGUGCGGCGAAUACUGAGAUGCUGGAGUGCCGGAGAGGUAAGCGGAAUUCCUGGUGUAGCGGUGAAAUGCGUAGAUAUCAGGAGGAACACCUGCGGUGAAGACGGCUUACUGGACGGUAACUGACGCUGAGGCACGAAAGCGUGGGUAGCAAACAGG
rnacentral:rRNA from 1 species